UAAUCAAAGGCUUCAAGUAUGGUCAAAACUCAAAAUGAAGAACUUCUUAAUGCUUUUUCCUUUUUAAUACAAUUACUGCGCGUGGAAUCAUAUUGAAUCAGUGAAUUUUGAAUACUAAAUGUCUAAAAAGGAAAAGCAAACAGAGAUUCUUCAUGUGCAUGCUAAAAUUAGAAUGAGAAGAAGAUAGAGAUUCCACUAAACUUCUGCAUAUAAUUUGAUUUCUUAUGAAAGUUGGGAUUAAUUUUGUCAUUACAAGAUACUAAACAGAUUACUAGAAAGGAUAGUUUCGGGAUUUGGGGGAAUCAGCAAUUUUAAGAGUCUGUUCAAUAAGCUUACGAGCCUUCUUGCUCCUAAUCUCCACUCUCAUGCUUUCACUCUUCUCAAUCUUGUCGUAUGAUUCCUUCAUUUUAAAGGACCUCCUCAGUUUCGUCUUCAAAUUCACCAUCAAUCUCUCAAAUCCCAUCAUUUUCUUCUUGAUUAAUUAAAACCACC